GACGAACGCUGGCGGCGUGCCUAAUACAUGCAAGUCGAGCGAAGUUUUUCUGGUGCUUGCACUAGAAAAACUUAGCGGCGAACGGGUGAGUAACACGUAAAGAACCUGCCUCAUAGACUGGGACAACUAUUGGAAACGAUAGCUAAUACCGGAUAACAGCAUUAACUGCAUGGUUGAUGUUUAAAAGUUGGUUAUGCUAACACUAUGAGAUGGCUUUGCGGUGCAUUAGCUGGUUGGUGGGGUAAAGGCCUACCAAGGCGACGAUGCAUAGCCGACCUGAGAGGGUGAUCGGCCACACUGGGACUGAGACACGGCCCAGACUCCUACGGGAGGCAGCAGUAGGGAAUCUUCCGCAAUGGGCGAAAGCCUGACGGAGCAACGCCGCGUGAGUGAAGAAGGAUUUCGGUUCGUAAAGCUCUGUUGUUAGGGAAGAAUGAUUGUGUAGUAACUAUACACAGUAGAGACGGUACCUAACCAGAAAGCCACGGCUAACUACGUGCCAGCAGCCGCGGUAAUACGUAGGUGGCAAGCGUUGUCCGGAAUUAUUGGGCGUAAAGCGCGCGCAGGUGGUUUAAUAAGUCUGAUGUGAAAGCCCACGGCUCAACCGUGGAGGGUCAUUGGAAACUGUUAAACUUGAGUGCAGGAGAGAAAAGUGGAAUUCCUAGUGUAGCGGUGAAAUGCGUAGAGAUUAGGAGGAACACCAGUGGCGAAGGCGGCUUUUUGGCCUGUAACUGACACUGAGGCGCGAAAGCGUGGGGAGCAAACAGG
rnacentral:rRNA from 1 species